ensembl:lncRNA
GGGCUUGGGAGAGGAACUGGGCAUGCGUAGCUCGGCCUGUUUCCCGCCCCACCGCGCUUCUCCUUUCUUGGCUUGGCCUGUGCGCCUGUAGAGUGGGAUUGCUCUGGUCUGAUCCAGGCCCACACUUUCCGAAUACCUCCUCAGUCGGAGUCAGUUUUUCUUCCUCUGAAAUCUUCCUCCAUUUGACACUUACUGGAUCCUGCCUCAAGAGCAAAACAGUGGAACUUCUGGAAGGAUACACUCUAUUCGUUACUACUGAGGAGCGGUGAAACCACUCUGCACUGGAGGGCAAGAGGCAAGCAGAAAUACUUAGGGAAGGCCUGGGUCUGCUUUGACCCCAUGAUCCAUUUUCAAAUGGAAACUUCGGCUUCUUAGGACCAGGUCUUAUUUUUCUAAAAAUUUAAUUAACCUCAAGUUUAAUUCUUUGUCAUCCUACCAGUAUCAGCACAGCCAACCUCAGUAGAGAAUGUAGUAAUGCCCUCCCCCAAAGUUAUCACCCUUUUUGGGGGCCCCUAAUAAUGUCAUUAUACCUUUUAAAAUUAGUAUAUUUUGGAAUUUUUUGAAUUGAUUCAUUACUUCUAUGGAAGCUUUAACAUCUAAAGCUUGAUUUAUUUAUUUAUUUAUUUAUUUAUUUAUUUAUUUAUUUAUUUAUUUUUUUGGAGGAAGAUUAGCCCUCAGCUAACUACUGCCAGUCCUCCUCUUUUUGCUGAGGAAGCCUGGCUCUGAGCUAACAUCCGUGCCAUCUUCCUCUAGUUUAUACGUGGGACGCCUACCACAGCAUGGCUGCCAAGCAGUGCCAUGUCCGCACCCCGGAUCCGAACCAGCGAACCCCGGGCCGCCGAGAAGCUGAACGUGCGAACUUAACCGCUGCGCCACCGGGCCGGCCCCAAUUUAUUUAUUUUUAAUGCAUAGUAACCUUAUUAAGCUAAUUUCCCCUUCAUCUUAAUAAUUUAUUAGUUGUGUCUGGGACUUCGUGCCAUAAGCGCUUCACCACAGAAUGAAAAACAAUGUAACCUGAGAGCAGAUUGGCUGGCAGAAUGCCGAGCAACGGUAAUCAGGACAGAUUUCCUGAGGCUUGCUCUGAGCCAAGCCUAUGCCUGGUCUGGAGCAUUCAAGAAAAGCCUCAGACAUUUAUCGAUGCCUUCAAGGAAAGAAAGUCUUCCACAUCCCCAGGUCUGUGAGACUCGCUUUCCAAUUUCCCGCAUCAUUAGCACCACUCUGGCAUCCUUCAGCCCUUAGGAACGUGUCUGUUUGCCGGGAGAUCUUAGACCUCAGACCUGAACAAGUCUGCGAUGCCCAAAGCCUCAGGACUCAUCACUUCAAGAACUCACUUACUUCAGCUCUGUUUCCAGGAAGGACUUUAUCAAAGCCCUCUUGCUGUGUCCUGCUGCUGCUUUAACAUUUCAGAGAGUAGCAAAAUGCUAGAGCUGGUAUGGACCUUUGCGUUUAUCUAGUUCAACCUGCUCAUUUUACAAAUGAGAGAAGUUGCUUCAGGAAAAGAUUCUCCCCUGCUUUGGUGAUGGCGCUCCGUGGACAGUGAAUCGGGCACCACUGCUGGGACUGACAUUUAUUUAUACACGUAUUGGUGCGUUUACUUGUUCCAGGAAUGAUUUGAGACCAAACGUCUGAUAUUAAGAAACCCACGCAUGAAGAAAAGACAUGAGUUCUCUGUGCUACAGUGAACAUUUUUUUUCACCUAGAAAUGGAGAAGUGAGGCCUAUUUGCUGUAAAGCGACUAAAUCACUCUGUCAUUCCACGUAUUUAUGUAGUCUGAAUCUCUCUGUUAAUCCUUCACUCUAUCCUUGCUGGAAGAAAUAUGCCCUACACAUGAAUAUAUUCUUUUCAAAAAUUUUAAAAA